CGUGCACUUUUUCCCAUUUUUCAAUGAAUUAUUUCGAAUUGGCAAUCCCAACCUUUCCAGCCCAUUCAUAAACUGACAGUUGAGCUGACUGUGUCUGCUUGUAUUAAUUUUCAGCUGAACUUCUCGAAACAGGAAAAAUAGUGUUGCCUUCAGAUUUCGUGUUAGAAUUCAUUAGAAUAAUUUUUAAUAUUAUCGUGCACUUUUUCCCCUUUUUCAAUUAAUUAUUUCGAAUUGGCAAUCCCAGCCUACCCAGCCCAUUCCAAACUGACAGUUGAGCUGACUGUGUCUGCUUGUAUUAAUUUUCAGCUGAACUUCUUGAAACAGGAAAAAGAGUGUUGACUUCAGAUUUCGUGUUACUUCCGACUUUAAAGACAUAAUUAUUCCUUUGAUUGUAAGUGAUUCAACAGGGUACCACUCAUCGUGUUAUAAAAAGUACACAGCUGUUAAAAAUAAAGAGGUUGAGUCUGCAUUGUCAAAGCAAAAAGCACUUGACGAGCAAUCGGUUUUAGUGGAGUCUACAUAACAACCUACAGCACAACCAGCCUCAGACAGUGCCGUUUGCCCGUUUAUCCAGCAACUAGUACUCAUUCUUUGAGGUCAACAUCAAAAGGAAAGGAAAAUUAAAUAAAUCUCCGGACUGGUCUGCACUUUGAUAAGUGCAUGUUUCGCUUUAAGAAAAGAGAACAAUUUAUUAACAAAGUGGAAUCUCUAAUUACAUGUACAACUGCAAACAUUCAGGCUAGCAUAUUACAAGAUGCAAAGGCUUUGUAACAUAAGAUUAUCUUGGAUAAUUUUGCUGGCGUACAAUGUGAAUUACAAUUUGUAGCUAAGGAAAUGAAAUACCAUAAUUCCUGCCGGAAUAAAUUUCAUUACGAAGCAAGUAGGACUACAGCAAGCCUUGAGAAGAACAAACAGUCAGAACGCACGUUGAAAAUUGAGAUAAGAGAAAAAGCUUUUACUGCUGCUAUUCAAUUCGUCAAAGAUUUCAUUAUAAAUCAAGAAGAAGUACACAGGACGAGAGAUGUUUCAGAUCGUCAUGGUAUGUUACAGACCGAAUAUGGGCUUGAACCAAACGACAUCUCCACAAACCGUGACUACUUGUUUCUCGCCAAGUUGACUGAACAUUUUCAAGGGAAGCACUGCAGUUUCAGUUAACAUUAAAAACGCCAUCUAGUUUUUCUCUAAUAAAUUUCAUCCAAAAUUUUA